rnacentral:rRNA from 1 species
UACAGAGACUGCAAGCGUUAUUCGGAUUCACUGGGCGUAAAGGGUGCGCAGGCGGUUGGGUGUGUCAGAUGUGAAAUCCCGAGGCUUAACCUCGGAACUGCGUCUGAAACUACUCGACUAGAGUACUGGAGAGGGAAACGGAAUUUACGGUGUAGCAGUGAAAUGCGUAGAUAUCGUAAGGAAGACCAGUGGCGAAGGCGGAUCUCUGGACAGCUACUGACACUGAGGCAGCGAAGGCCCAGGGGAGACAAAACGGG